UACAGGGGGGGGCAAGCGUUGUUCGGAAUUACUGGGCGUAAAGGGCCAGUAGGCGGCCAACUAAGUCCGACGUGAAAUCCCCAAGCUUAACUUGGGAACUGCGUCGGAUACUGGAUGGCUUGAAUUCGGGAGAGGGAUGCAGAAUUCCAGGUGUAGCGGUGAAAUGCGUAGAUAUCUGGAAGAACACCAAUGGCGAAGGCACCAUCCUGGGAAGCAUCUGACGCUCAGGUGCGAAAGCUAGGGGAGCGAACGGG
rnacentral:rRNA from 1 species